GGUGUUUUCUAAACUCCAAAGUGCUGUACGAAUGUCCAAGCGAACUAUCAAGAAGUCCUGACCUCUGGCCUGUGUUGGUCCACUGAGCACCUGGGCUUGGCUUGAUGGACAGAAUCCUGUGCCCCUCAUGUGUAAAACAGAGGUCCCCGAUGACUGCUCCCUUUCCAGGUCCCGGCAUAAAGCCUUAGCCAUCACCUCCUGUGUUCUCCCAGCCUCACCUGCUGAGGGCUCGGCCCCGCUUUAUCCCAGCUCCUCCCGUCUAAAAUGGGGACUGCAUUUUGUGCUGCAGAUCUGCCGACUGGCACCUUCCCUGUUGCUCUGAGCAUUCCAUAGCAGGGUCAGGCCGAGGAAUUGUGGACAAACUGGCUCACGUU